ensembl:misc_RNA Metazoa_SRP Metazoan signal recognition particle RNA
GCCAGGCGUGUUGGCACGCACCUGUAAUCCCAGCUACUCGGGAGGCUGAGGCAGAAGAAUCACUUGAACCUGGGAGGCAGAGGUUGCAGUGAGCGGAGAUCACGCCACUGUACUCCAGCCCGGGCAAUAGAGUGAGACUCUGUCUCAA